UUGAAAAUGCCACAUUUAUAAAGUUUCAAAACAAAUAUUAGGUGUAGUGAUGUGCUAAACUAGUGAGAUAAACACCAUCAGGAGUGACUGUUGCUGUAUCUUUUUUUCUUUUCUUUUCUUUACAUGACUGUGUUUUAAAGGAACUAAAUGAUAAAGGGCGAAUGAAGCGACAUACAAAAAAGUGAUGAAAACUGUGUUGGAUCCUAAACGCAGAGGCGGUGAAAUCAAGCACUCUGUUCUGCUCAAACAGCAAAAAUACUCGAAAUUUAUGUUGCAAUACUGAGAAGUUUUUCCG